GACGAACGCUGGCGGCGUGCUUAACACAUGCAAGUCGAACGGAAAUUCCCUGCUUGUGUGGUGUGCUCGAGUGGCGAACGGGUGAGUAACCCGGGAAUAACCUGCCCGGUACUUUGGCAAAACGUGAGGAAACUGGCGCUAAUACCGGAUAUGAUCUCCCGCUGUACGGUUUGGGGCGGGAAGUUUCGGCGGUUGGGGAUGUAGUCGCGGCUUAGCAGCUUGUCGGUGGGGUUGUGGCUUACCGAGGCUUUGACGGGUAGCCGGCCUGAGAGGGUGACCGGCCACAUUGGCACUGAGGUGCGGGCCGGACUGAUACGGGAGCAAGGGGCGGGGGACAGUGCGCGAUGGGCGGCAGGAUGAUGGAGGGACGCCGCGUGGGGGAUGACGGCCUUCGGGUUGUAACAAGCUUGCGCCUGUGACGAAGCGCCCGUGACGGUAAUGGGCCAAGAAGCAACGGCUAACUACGUG
rnacentral:rRNA from 1 species